rnacentral:lncRNA from 1 species
CGCGCGAGAAGAGCAGGCGCCCGCUGGCCUGUCUCUGGUCUGCCGGGAACCGGACGACGUUCUUCUCCCAUCAUCUGAGCUGGACGACGACAGCCAGACGAAGCGCGAUUUUCUGCGGGACUCGGCAGCUAGUGUUUUCGCUCUUCCCCUCCCUAGCCUCUUCUCUUCUCUCUCAGCGAGCGAAAAGCCACUCACUGGCGCACAGGCAUCUUGUGCAGAAGCGCGUGGAUUCCGCUGUUGAGAUCGCCGGGAAAACUUGGUCGCAGGAAGCCACCCUUCCCCGCCCGAAUCUCUUCCUGCUUCGGAUUCUCCUUGUUCGUGUUCUCGAGUCUCCCACCGCUGUUGGAUGAGCACGUGAAGAGGUAUGCGUUCUUCAGGUUCGCGGUGGGGGGCUACGGAGGCGUCAGCGAUAAGCGUCUCUGGAUGCUCGUCCUUCAAGAUGAAAAACGCCUCUCUCCCGUCGGCUUCCUCGGCACUCUCGGACCUCCGUUCCUGUUCGUCCAGGAUCCUCUCCGGUUGUUCUGGGCCUUCUUCUUCGGUCCAGCUGUCUUCUUCCUUCUUGUCUCUCCUUGUCCCGUCGCUCGCAUCGCCUAGGUCCGAGAACGCCGAGUAGAAGUCGACGUCUCCUUCUGUCUCCGACAAAAGAAAUCCACAGCUCCGAGACGAACAACUGCACCUGCGAAGACGCAUUUGCUUCCUGCCUCCGCCCUUGCUCGUGUUUCGUCUCUCCCCGGCUCGAUCCGUUCUCUCCGCAGAGUCUGCGUUUCUGAAACCGAGACGUGGAUCCUCCAGAUUGAGCAGUUCCGCGGGGGGAACGGAGGCCGCCGUCGUCCGGUGUUCUUGUCUCUCGACAGGACGCUUGAUUGAUGGCCGAAAGCUGUCUCCCUUCCUCCUGCUCCUCGCCUUCAAGCUCCGUUUCUGUGUUUGCCAAAGUCCUUCGCGUGGGUACUCUGUGGCUCCUAGACCCGACAGUCUUCCUUCACCGGCGUCCACGCUUGCCCCAGAAGGUCCUCGUCUUCGUGUCUCCAUUUUCGACUUUUUUUCGCCAGUCGGCUCCAAGAGGAAUAAAGACUCCGAAGAGUCUCCUUGCCUCCUCACACUUGCUGCUUCUCUUUCGAGUCCUUGUUUGCGGCGCCUGUUCCGCUGUGUCACUGUCUGACCAGCUCCGUCGUCUCGAGACUGGGUCUCCCAGUUCGUUGCUUCUUCGUUCUCAAAGUGCGCUUCCUCUUUCACUUGGGCAGGAUCCCUCAGAGUCCACUCUCCACACGCUCGCUCGCUCCUCUCUAUUGCUUCCCAAAGAUGCAACGUCCCUACAGAUCCUUCUUCCGCGAUAAGCUCUGCGUCGCCAUCCCUCGAUGUGGUGUCGAGGAAGGCGCCACUCUUCAAAAGAAGCUCGAAGGCUUCGUCGUUGAGACAAUCAUCUUUAAAGGCCUCAGCUGUGCUUGGUGCGUUACGGGCAGUUUCGGCUACAUGCAAUUGGCCAUGUGAAUCUGUCUCUGCCCUCUCCUCUCUUGUCCGGUGGUCCCACCAGUUUGGGAGCCGGUCCCCUUGCAUGCGACCCGCAGAAACGCUGGCUUCUCCGCCCCCCCACUGGCCUUGACCUCGUCCCUCUGAGGAGAAACAUGGGUAUUCAACAGGCAGAGGUUCCCUCUUCUCUCUGUCCUCCUCCCCUCCGCGUUCUCUCUGUCCUUCCACCUCAUCGCUUCCUCUGCGUCUCCCUCCGGUCAAAGUCCUCCCUCUCCGUGGCGCCAUACCGCACUUCUCCUUUCUUUCUUACAACUCCGAGGGCUCCAGAAAGAAGGCGAAACCAAGCGGCCAGGAGCGACCGGGGAAGACAAGAAGACGAAGAAUAAGAAGGGAAGGGCACGGAGGAGAAGAAGGCGGGCGGGGAGAAGAAAGUGAGGAAAAAUAGAAAAAGGAAAAAGAGAGAGGCAGAAAAGCAGAAGAGGAUAACGAUGAUGAUUGGAUAAGGAACGCGAUCGCGUGCAACGAGAGACAACUGAAAUCGGGGCUUCUAGGCUCUUUUCAAACCCAGCAUGGAGGAAGAAACGACAGAGCGAAAGCGAAAUAAAAGGUGGCCGAGAGAUGAAAUACUGGGGAGAAAAACAACGAGAACCUCUUUACCAGCGGGUCCUCUACUGAUGAGGACGGGGAGACAAGGGUGUGUGAGGCAGAACGACGAGAAAAAACCAAGGUCGCUCCGACAGCUUUGCCGUCUCUCUUUCACACUUCUUCCAUUGUUUGAGCUGCUCUUCGCAAGUUGGUUUUUAUUCUUUCUUUGCAGGUGGGUAUAAAAUCUGCGUCGGUGACGUGUCUACGGGUCAAGCAGCCGUGUGUUCAAGAAUGCAUUCAUCUCUACAUGCAGCAGCACCGAUGGAAAUUUGCAUCUGAGUACGGUUCCGAGAUCAUGGACUGAAUUCAAACUGCGCCUGAAGAGAAGCCGAGGCAGAAAUGACUCAGAUGAUAAAAAUCUCCCCGCCUGUCCCUCCUCUUUCUCCCUUCCUCUGUUGAGGUCGACGUAGUGUCUUCGCACUUUUGCUCGCUCUCGACGUCUCCCGUCUUGCUCGGCGCGCCAGUGCAAGAAACUCACGAUCAUGUGGGAAGAGUCUCUUCCUGUCGGUUCUUCUGGACCCCUGUUCGGUGUUCCGGUCGCGUCAGUGCCUUAGAGCGCCGAAGUCCUUCCGACAGUAUUUUUCGGCGCUCGCUUUCCGGGCU